rnacentral:lncRNA from 1 species
AGUCGGUGCUGAUCUGCAGUCCUCUCCCGUCCGCUCCCCCCCUUCCCUCAACCCCAAGCUGGCACAAAGACAAGACGAACAUCAUUGACUCCAAUCUUUGGCCUUCUAACCAGGAAAGGACUCGUGAAGCUCUGACCGCUCUUCCUGGGAAUAAAAGCAGACCAGAUACAAGGAGCAGAGAUCCGCAGCUCUCUGAUGGGACAAAGCUUCUGCAGUUUAAGAAAAUAAAGUCCGAAGUGCUGAACUGCCCCCAGGCAGACAGCAUGAAAAUCAACUCAGCUGAUUCAAAUCUUUGUAGCUACAUUCCUUCAACUAAAAUGACCAUCUCAUCUGCAAAUGAAAAACACAUUUCGAUAUGCUUUCUUUCAGCAUUAAAGGUAAAUGCAUAUAUUACUGCUAAAAGGAGGAAUCCAGGGUGAAUUCACCCCAAAUUCUCAGACUUUCUUUAGAUUGAACCAGCCCCUUCCAAACAGCAGUAAGAAGUUUAGCCCUUGAAAGAUUAUCUAUAAGUAAGUUAUGAUGAAAACAAAUCUAUCAUUAGGCUGAGAGAAGACAUUGAAAUGACUGCAAAGAGGUUUCCAUUCUCUUUUCAGAUCUGUAAGGUUAUCAGAGUUGAUAAAGGUUUUGACACUAAAACAAAGGAAAAACACCUCCAAGUUACAAACUUAACUAUCUCAAGAUGGCUCAUCACCAAAAACCAACUUAGAUCUUUCAAAAAAUACACCUCACCCCAUGUGCUAUUCUUCCAUUUGAGUACACAAUGAGUGUUACCACAAUGAGUGUGUACCACACAGCAGCACUGCGCUGGGUGUGGGCUAUUCCGAAAUGAACACAGCAGAGUCCCUUGCCUAUCCUGACAGUCCAGUGGGCAAGAGAAGAUUGCAAACAUCUGGGAUGAGUGAUGUAGAAGUUGAGCAGGAGGAACUGGGAAUCUCAGGUUAAAAGAUGCAAACUAUUGCCUUUGGAAUGGAUAAGUAAAGGGAUCCUGGUGUAUAGCACUGGGAACUAUGCCGGGUCACUUGUGAUGGGGCAUGAUACUAUGAGAAAAAAAGAAUGUAUACAUGUAUGUGUAACUGGGUCACCUUGCUGUGCAGUAGAAAUUGACAGAACACUGUAAACCAAUGAUAAUGGGGAAAAAAAUAAAAAGAAUGACCAUUACACAAACCUAAGGAGACAAUGCCUCUGCAGAAUCAUCACUGGAUUCAGAUGAUAGGUCAACACCAUUUCUCAAACUGAAGAGUUUUUGUUUUGUUUUGAUUUUUCUGUGAACGCCACACUUCUGAUUUUUGGCAAAAGUAUAAAAAAGAGAGAAAAUGAGAUUAAUCUAUGACCACAAAAAACCACAUCUUUUGGAAGUCCCUUUUGUUGUCUCACUUUAUAAUAAAACAAAUUGAAACCUUUCAUUAAAAACAAGUUUGGUUUGAAAUUAACUUCCUAGAGAGGAAAAGAUGACCUCAGAGUUACCUUCAAAAGAUGGAUCAUUCUCAGUUUGGAAGGUAUGUUUCAGAAGAAUGACCUAUUAAUUCCUUCUUUUAAUUAUGGAUGAAUUUAUAAAGAAGAAUUUUCCCCAAAUGCUAUGGUUAACAUGUUCAUAAAAUUCCACAAAAAAAGAUCAUAUAUAUUUAUGAGGGCAAUUUGUUAGGACAAAUUUGUAUCCUCUGUAGAGAGAAUGGGAAUCAAAGGUUUGAGGAAGGGCAAAUGACUGGCAGCAAGAGUGUGCCGGCUGAAGGAAGGGAUAGCCCAGGGCCACCUGUGCCAACAGAAGGGCACACGUCCCACUGGCCAACACCACUCCUCCCGGGGAACUUGCUGGAAAGCAUGAAUUUGUCAAGAUUCUCUUUGGGGGGAAAACUGGGAGCAGCAUAAUCUAAGAACCAAGAGCCAUGGAUUUGGAAGGCUGGGAAAGAAUCCAGAGGGUAGGGGUCAGUGUGCACUCCCCAUGCCAAGGGCCAAGAAAAUUGCACCAUGGAGAGUGAAUGACCCAAGACCAAGCAGAGAAGAUGGAAGUGCCAAGUGUACAUGUGCCACAAGAGUCCUUUGAGGUCAGUUAUCCCAGGUAUUCAUUUGAUGCCUAAUAAAACUGAGGCCCAGAAGGAGGAGGGGAGUUAACAACUCCACCCAGGGGCAAAGCCAGAACUCAAAUCUGAACACAGGAGAGUGUGUUUUCAUCCCACAGCUCUGCCUUCUUCACUGAGAAUUACCCACAAAACAAUAAACCACAUCAAUGAGAAGCUGAGAGCAGAAGUGGAGUGGAUUGGGAGCAUGAGGCUGGCAUGAAUAAAUACUGGUGUGGAAAGUUCCAGCCCUAGGAACCUACCGGAUUUUUGACUCUAUGUGUCAGACAUUUGGAGUUCAUUUUCUAAUUCUGUCACCCAAAUUUCUAUUCCCCAUUAACAUUUUUCCUUCUGCAACCACCCUCUAAAUCUAUGUAUGCUCCUCAAAUGCCACCGUGAAUGUCUGCUUUUUUGGUUAUAUUCCUCCUAUGGUGCUCAGGUGACACUUCAGUAAAUUUAACUGAUGGGUCCACCAUGCAAAGACACAAUCUCCCUUUAUAAAUUUGUUGUAAAAAUAUUUAUACUUGAGACUUUGAGAAAUAAUAUGCAAAACAAAUAUUUAAAAUCCACCUUGCAGACCUAUUACUGAAGGUGUAUGUACUACUUUUCAAGGCUUAUGAAAUGAGAAGUGACUUUAAACAACAAUCAACCUAAGUAUGCAAGGCAAAGUCUAAUCCUCUCCUUGAUGCUGUGAGGUAAGCACAUCCAUGUAGUUAGAGGCUGUUGGUUUUGACCGUCUAGCACUCAUUCAUUCUUCUCUUGGUCACAACCUGUGAGAUAAUUUUCUUUGGAGAAUCAGUACACCCCACCCUUCAUUUCAUGUGGUUUGGAUGAGACUGACCCCAUUUCCUGUUACAAAGUAUGGGCUGGUCCCUGGUGGUUAGUUCAUGGAUUGAAAUGUAACCCAAAUCUAGCUAAUGAAAAGUCAUUUCUGCAGUUUUGUGUGAACCACUGCAAAAGAGCAUCUUUCCAUUAGGGUUGCUACACUGGCCAGGAGUAAUCCUUUAGCAGAUUUUGGCUAUCCUACCAAAACUUGUUUAAAACAAAAACUAAAACCCACCUGAACUACAUAGGAAAACAGAACCGAGACACAGAGAAAGGAAUUAUUGACAAAGUUAUUUGAACACCUGAGCCUAACACAACCCUGAGGGUAUGUGAUAGACUAUUGAUAAAAAUGACUGCACUAUUCCCCUUUAUCUCUAUAUAUACACCAUUUUUCUAUGUGACCUCCCUACUCUUCCACUGAGAGGUGGAAUCUUCUUCUUGGGCUUGGCCGUGCAACUUAUUUUGGCAAAUGAGGCAUGAGAAAAUGUAAUUAAUAUGAAUAAAUGCUUGAAAAGUCCCUGAGAAUUAGAGUUUGCUCUCCCUCAUUAGGAGAACUUUUCUGCUACCAGUCCACAAGCCAAGUCUUGCUUACUAGAAAAAGAGAGACAUCCUGGAGAGCCAUUUCAGCCAGUCCAGCUGAAGCCUCAGACAGUGAGAUUAUCCUCCACUAUGUAGCCCUGGCAGAGUCAGCUAGGUGAGAACCACCCUGUUGAACUAAGGAUUGUGACUUAUUCAAUAACUUUUAUGUGAUGCCAUUAAAAUUGAAGGUGGUUUGUUACCAAGUGAAGGCUAACUGAUCAAGUAUUAAAACAAUUUUUUCCCUUCAGCAAUAUGAAUUGAGUUUGUAUCACAUAUAACCCAAAAGUUAGAAAUAAUCAGUGCCAGAGUUCCCACUGUGGCUCAGCAGGUUAAGAACUCAACAUAGCCUCCAUGAGGAUGUGGGUUUGAUCCCUGGCCUCCCUCAGUGGGUUAAAGAUCCAGUGUUGCCAAAAGCUGUGGUGUACAUCACAGAUGUGGCUCGGAUCUGGUGUUGCAAUGGCUGUGGCAUAGGCCAACAGUUGCAAUUCUGAUUUGACCUAGCCUGGGAACUUCCAUAUGCUGCAGGUGCAGC